rnacentral:rRNA from 1 species
UACGUAGGAGGCAAGCGUUGUCCGGAAUUACUGGGCGUAAAGCGCGUGUAGGUGGUGGGACAAGUCUGCUGUGAAAGCGCCUGGCUUAACCGGGCGAGGUCGGCGGAAACUGUCCGACUCGAGGACGGUAGAGGGGGUGGAAUUCCCGGUGUAGUGGUGAAAUGCGUAGAGAGUCGGGAGGAACACCUGUGGCGAAGGCGGCCCCCUGGGCCGGCCCUGACACUGAGACGCGAAGGCGUGGGGAGCGAACGGG